GAUGAACGCUGGCGGCGUGCCUAAUACAUGCAAGUCGAGCGAACAGACGAGGAGCUUGCUCCUCUGACGUUAGCGGCGGACGGGUGAGUAACACGUGGAUAACCUACCUAUAAGACUGGGAUAACUUCGGGAAACCGGAGCUAAUACCGGAUAAUAUAUUGAACCGCAUGGUUCAAUAGUGAAAGACGGUUUUGCUGUCACUUAUAGAUGGAUCCGCGCCGCAUUAGCUAGUUGGUAAGGUAACGGCUUACCAAGGCGACGAUGCGUAGCCGACCUGAGAGGGUGAUCGGCCACACUGGGACUGAGACACGGUCCAGACUCCUACGGGAGGCAGCAGUAGGGAAUCUUCCGCAAUGGGCGAAAGCCUGACGGAGCAACGCCGCGUGAGUGAUGAAGGUCUUCGGAUCGUAAAACUCUGUUAUUAGGGAAGAACAAAUGUGUAAGUAACUAUGCACGUCUUGACGGUACCUAAUCAGAAAGCCACGGCUAACUACGUGC
rnacentral:rRNA from 1 species